rnacentral:rRNA from 1 species
GGGGUCGGAACUUCGGUUCCGGCUUACGUGGCGCACGGGUGAGUAACACGUGGGAAUCUGCCCAUCUAUGGGGAAUAACUGCGGGAAACUGCAGCUAAUACCGCAUACGCCCUUCGGGGGAAAGGCUUCGGCCGUAGAUGGAUGAGCCCGCGUCCGAUUAGCUAGUUGGUGGGGUAAUGGCCUACCAAGGCGACGAUCGGUAGCUGGUCUGAGAGGAUGAUCAGCCACACUGGGACUGAGACACGGCCCAGACUCCUACGGGAGGCAGCAGUGGGGAAUAUUGGACAAUGGGCGAAAGCCUGAUCCAGCAAUGCCGCGUGAGUGAUGAAGGUCUUCGGAUUGUAAAGCUCUUUCGACGGGGAAGAUAAUGACGGUACCCGUAGAAGAAGCCCCGGCUAACUUCGUGCCAGCAGCCGCGGUAAUACGAAGGGGGCUAGCGUUGUUCGGAUUUACUGGGCGUAAAGCGUGCGUAGGCGGCUUAUCAAGUCAGAAGUGAAAGCCCGGGGCUCAACUCCGGAAUGGCUUUUGAGACUGGUAGGCUGGAGUUCGGGAGAGGGUAGUGGAAUUCCCAGUGUAGAGGUGAAAUUCGUAGAUAUUGGGAAGAACACCGGUGG